AAGCAAUAUUUUAUUUUCAAAAAAAAAAUGAUCCCUAGAAAAACUGUAAUAAUGUGAUUUUCGUCUCAUCUGAGAGCUACCAUGGCGUGCGUUGAGUAAAUAAUACAUAAUUAAAGUUACACGAAAACAAUGUAUGGUGGAAUUGUUUCUCUCAAAAAGUUCUAAAAAAAAGUCCGCGAUAGCAUGUAUACCUAUCUAUCGUUUAAGGUGGACUCACACUAACAAUUUUUAUCAAUAGCAAAGCUAGUUUA